rnacentral:lncRNA from 1 species
AAUAGAAACAGAAAAAAUCGAAAUUGAUCGAUCUAUUUCUCGAAACAAACGAAAAGAAAACAAAAAGUGAAACAUAAAUUAUGGAUCAACUAAGCCCUCUCGGGGAAUUGCAUGAGAAUAAAAAAGAGGAAUCUCGUGUAAAUACCAUGGAAUAAGGUUUGAUCUUAUUCAUAGGGAUUCCGUAAAUAUUCCAUUCCAAAAAUAGAAA